rnacentral:snRNA from 1 species
GCGCUGGAUUAUGACUGAA